AGAAUCAACGCUGGCGGCGUGCCUAACACAUGCAAGUCGCACGAGAAAGGGUAGCAAUACCUGAGUACAGUGGCGCACGGGUGAGUAACACGUGAAUAAUCUACCUCCGAGUGGGGAAUAAACUGAGAGAAAUCUUAGCUAAUACCGCAUAACACUUACGAGUCAAAGCAGCAAUGCGCUUGGAGAGGAGUUCGCGGCCGAUUAGUUAGUUGGCGGGGUAAUGGCCCACCAAGACGAUGAUCGGUAUCCGGCCUGAGAGGGCGCACGGACACACUGGAACUGAAACACGGUCCAGACUCCUACGGGAGGCAGCAGUGGGGAAUUUUGCGCAAUGGGGGAAACCCUGACGCAGCAACGCCGCGUGGAGGAUGAAAUAUCUUGGUAUGUAAACUCCUUUCGAUGGGGAAGAUUAUGACGGUACCCAUAGAAGAAGCCCGGCUAACUUCGUGCCAGCAGCCGC
rnacentral:rRNA from 1 species